GGGUCGAUGGCGUAGUUGGUUAUCGCAUCUGUCUAACAUUCACUUACCAUGCAUAGUUGCACAGAAGGUCCUCAGUUCGAACCUGGGUCAACUCA